UCCCUAUGAUGAGUUUGCCAUGCUAAUACCGACACGCCAAACUGACUGUGCGUAAAUGAGUUCAGCUCAACUUCUCACACUCGGUGUGCUCUGAAGGGA